UGGCAGUGAUGGUGAAAAGCUUGUGGACACUCGUCACAGCACACCAGAUUUCCCGCCGAGUCACAAAUGUAGCACACGUCACGUAAAAUCUUGUGCUCACAUGACUUAUUUUGUUCUGCAGGAUCCCGGUAUACUUGGAGAUUUACCUGUAUAAGUUCAUGCAGUGUAAUGUUUUCGCAGCGGAUGGUGAGUUUCCAGUUCUUGCUUUUUUCCCUUUCUGAAAAUCUCUCAAAGUCACCUGGGGUGAACCAGACGCCGCCGGACAAAAUACACAUCUCUCCUGUAGGAACAAAACUUUAUUUAAAUUCCAAUUUAAAAAACAAACUAUACUGGCAAAUUCCUUCUGACACCACUCAACUUUAUUUCUCUAUGAGAAUGAAGUAUGACUACGUGGCUUUUUUCGUUAAAAACAUAACAGCUUUUGUUUUUUGGCCCAUCAAGGUCUCAUUAAUAAUGAUGUUUCAAGCUACAAUGGACUCUCAUGGUUCAGGACUUCCUUAGUAAAGUUUUCUUUCAUCAAGGUAAUAAAAAAAGUUCACUUAGAAAAACUCUUAGUGGUAAGAUAAGAUCUUUUUUGCUAUCCACCUUCCAUAUCUACACUGUAAAGAAUUGCUGUAAAUUUUACAACCUUGGUUUGCCUGUAAAGUACUGUGAAAUGUAGAGUAAACAUCUGUAAAUCAUUUAUAGUAAAGUACUGUAAUAUCUUAGAUAUUUUAAAAUAAAUCAUAUUCCAGCACAUUUGUCUGAUGCAGGAUAAAACUUACCUGAAAGUUAAGGUCUUGCUCAAGGACCCAACCAUGGCAGUGCUGGGAUUUGAACACACAACCUUCUGAUUUGUAACUCAAAGCCUUAAACACUGAAUCACCACAGCCAGCUCAACUAGCUUACUGUGCAUUGAUUCAACUGCUUCUACCACUGAAUUAACUCCACCAAAAGAUUGCAUUGAAUCAACACAGACUCAUUGAGCUAGUAGUGGUGGCACAGUUGUUAAGGCUUUGAGUUGUAGGUCAGAAGGUUGUGUGUUCAAAUCCCAGCACUGCCAAAUGGCUAUGUUGGGGCCCUUGAGCAAAACUCUUAAUAUUCAGUUCAUUCAUAUCCUGCAUCAGCCAAAUGAGCAAAUGUAUUGGAUGAUGUGUUGUUUUAUAUUGUGUAAGAUUGUACAGUUGUUACUACUCCAUUGUAGGGCACCAUCACACACAUUCACACACCCAUUCAUACACUACAACACCAGCCUACAGCGCAUGUCUUUGGACUGGGGGAGGAAACCAGAGUACCCGGAGGAAACCACUGAAGCACGGGGAGAUCAUGCAAACUCAGGGCUGCAGCACGAAUCGAACCCAGAUGGCAAUGGUUGGGUCCUUGAGCAAAACUCUUAAUAUUCAGUUCAGUCAUAUUUAUUCUGGCUCCAUCCAUCCAUCCAUUUUCUGUACCUCUCAUCCUUACUGGGUCAUGGGAACCUGUAGCCUAUCCCAGGGUGAUGCGAGAUGGUGAUCAUGGUCACUAAUCAUCCGGCCAUGUCCCUCGAUGGCUUGUGGCCAACGGGGAUCUCCCGCUGCUUCCAUUGGAAGGCGAAGUAUUCUGUCACGAACCUCAAAUUAGCACGGAAGCAGAAGCGGGCGGCAGGUGGAGAGCGUGGUAUUGGGAAUUUCAAGAAACGUAGUUGUAAGACAGGCAAUGGUCAAGCGAUCGGACGAACAACACAAAAGGGGUCAGGCAGAGAGCGUAGUCAAAACCGGAAACAAGGGUCGAGGAUAACGAGAAGACUAACUAACUAGAUCGGCCUGGUAACGCAGAGAAACAAGUUGACUGAACGUAUACUUCGCAUUGACUCUAGGUGAAUGACAUCCCUAAGUACUAGUGUGAGAGUGUGUGUGUGUGAUUGGUGCCAGGUGUGUCUGAUCAGAACUCCGGGGAUGGUGAGAAGGUGCGUGCAUGAGAAGUGAGUGUUGUAUCUUGGGAAAUUGAGUUCUGAUCUGACUGAGCUGUGACAAUCAUUAUCAUCUGUGUGUAGUUCACUACGUAACAGUUAUAAAGUGUCAUAUCUGUCCUGAGGGGGUCUGUGAAUUUAUUAUUAUUAUUAUUAUUAUUAUUAUUAUUAUUAUUAUUAUUAUUAUUUUGGUGCAAUUAAAGGCAUCCCUGCCUAUAAAAAGAUUGAGAGCCUCUACUGUACAUAGUGUGUGUAUAUAUAUAUCACGCUGCAUUUUGCAAAAAAACAGUCCUGUUUUCUGACAAAGUGUGUUGCACCAAUUACUAAAUCGAAGCCAUUUAAUUGAUACUUUUCAGUUAAAAUAAAUAAUAAAAUGACAAUAUAGUCUUUCAUUUGAUGCUCAUGUAGAUAAUAUUACUAGGAUAGCCUUCUUUCAUCUCAGAAAUAUUUCUAAGAUAAGAAAUAUAUUGUCACUACAUGAUGCAGAAAUAUUAGUUCAUGCUUUCAUCACCUCUAGACUAGAAUUUAGAUAAUUAUUUAAUAAUGGACACAUAGGGGAAUUAAAACUGUAUUGACUGACCUAAGCUGGUCUGGAGUGAGCGCAGAAAAGGAUAUUUCUGAAGGAUGUGAUCCUGAGACACACACCUCCAAAACUGCUUUAUACACCACCUCCCGGCUUCUCCACCCAGUCCAAAAUCUCAUACCCACCUUUCUACCUUCUGUUCUUACUUUUCAUCUUUAUUAGCUUCUACAGAAAGAAAGAGAGAGAGAAAGAGAGAGAGAGAGAGUGAGAGAGAGAGAGACAGAGACAGAGACAGAGAGAGACUGGUAACGUGUUGAUUUACUGAUGUACAUCAUUAAGUUCAUUUUACUUAAAUGACACAACACAAAAUAAUAAAAACACUGCCAUGAACAAGGGGCGUAGCUCUCUCACAGGUUCAUAUUACAGAGACUCUUUCAGGUUGCACAACUCUUUCAGGUUUUUUCGACAACAAUCAUUGCCCUGUUCAGGAUACCGGAGAAGUGUUUUACCUGCAUAAAAAAGUAGAAAGAUGUUCAGUGACCGAAUAUCUAUUCAGUUGGAUUUCACACCGCCGGAGGAGCUGAUUAAGUUUUUCCACUUGAACAAGGCGCAGAUUUCUUGCAUAGAUGAACCGCUCACCUUCCUCAACCAGCUCCGAGACCACAGUUUGGUACCUGAUGAACUCUACCAAGCAAGACAGCAAGAAAAAUAACAUUCUGUCAUUUGAAGAGCUUUUUUCUUUACAGUUGAAAGAAGGAAAUGGAUUGGCUUGACUUGUUUAAUCACACCUCUAGGGUAUAAACGUAUUUUACUGCACAGUGCUUGAUCAGUGUUUGAUCAGUGCUUGUUAACAGUGGUGGCUCUGUGGUUAAGACAUUGGGCUGUUGAUCAGAAGGUCAUGAGCUCAACCCCAUAACCACCAAGGCACCACUGUUGGGGCCCCUGAGCAAGGCCCUAACCCCUAAUUGCUCAGAUGUAUAAAUGAAAUAAAUGUAAGUCGCUCUGGAUGAAGGUGUCUGCCAAAUGCCAUAAAUGUAGUGAUUUUAAUAAUAAUAAUUAAAGUGCACAAACUGGAAAUUUGCAAAUUUAUGAUUUACGGCAAUUGUAAAAGUUUGUGCCAAAAGAAAGUAUUGGGAUCGGGAUUGGCGGGGUGUGAUGCAGAAAUCUAAACAAUCGUUUGUUUUGUUGUUGCACCCGACACAGGAUAAUGAGUUGGAAGUAAGCACAGGAGCGCUGUCUUUAUUAAUAACCCAAACAAACAAACAAACCACAGGCAGCGCGGUCUAUACGGAACUAGUGAGUAAACAUGAGACUAGAAUCGAGGCAGGAAACCGGACAUGACAACAAAGACCGCUUAGCAUGCUAAACCUAUAUCCUACACCGUUAACACUGAAAACUCUCACACGGGCAUCUAUGUUACAAAUAAUAAUACUCCAGUGAAGUGCGCGUGCACCCGAGGGGUUUAAAUACCCAACAUAAUUAAACUAAACCAAAGACACCUGGGUUAAAUCAAGGACAUCCUCAAACAGAAACUAAUACUCAGCCAGGAAGCGAAUCAAAACAAAACAAGCGUCACGCUGUGCUGCAGUGCCCUCUGCCGGCCAUGGCAUAACAGUUGUAUACAGGAUUUACAUUUAAGUGUACAUAAAAUGUAGGCAGAAGGAUGAAGUAGG
ensembl:lncRNA